UCUAAUAUGGCAGAUAAGUGCACUGGAUUUAAGCUCCAAACAUAAAGGUUAAUCCUUUUAUUAGUA
rnacentral:tRNA from 1 species